AGCGGCGGACGGGUGAGUAACACGUGAGUAACCUGCCUUAGACAUUGGGAUAGCCUCGGGAAACCGGGAUUAAUACCAAAUAAAAUCAUAAUGACACAUGUCAUAACGAUCAAAACUCCGGUGGUCUAAGAUGGACUCGCGUCCCAUUAGCUAGUUGGUAGAGUAAAAGCCUACCAAGGCGACGAUGGGUAGCCAGCCUGAGAGGGUGAACGGCCACAUUGGAACUGAGAAACGGUCCAA
rnacentral:rRNA from 1 species